CUCAUCAGUUCUGGAUACAUUCAGGAAAAGAAUCUGGUGUCUUGCAAUCAAUUGGAAUUUCUGUUUUAUGAAAAAUAGGUUUUCGAGUAACCACAAUAUGGGGUCCUCAUAUAUUGUUAUAAGCUUUCAAAGAGGAAUGGAUGAAAUAGAAGACAUAUGUAGGGGAGACUCUGCUUAAUGUAUGACAGCAUUCAAGAAUACUGGAGAAUAAGAAAAUGAACAACCAGACUGUCAUCUCUCAGUUUCUCCUCCUGGGACUGCCCAUUCCCCUGGAGUACAAGCACCUGUUCUUUGCCCUCUUCCUGACCAUGUACCUCAACAUCAUCCUGGGGAACCUCAUUAUCAUCAUCCUUAUUCUACUGGACACACAUCUCCACACACCCAUGUACUUUUUUCUCAGCAACUUGUCCUUCUCUGAUCUCUGCUUUUCCUCUGUCACAAUGCCCAAGUUGCUGCAGAACAUGCAGAGCCAGGACCCAUCCAUCCCCUAUGCCAGCUGUCUGACACAAAUGUACUUUUUCAUGGCUUUUGGGAACAUGGAAAUUU
rnacentral:lncRNA from 1 species